AGAUUUGCGUUGAAUUUUGGUUCGACUUUGCAAUUAAGCAUGGUUGAUUAAAAGGGAAUCAAGUGCAAAACUUGAGCUGUUCCCGCAACUGUAAUUUUAUACUCAACUUGUUUGAGUACCUUUUUUAAGGGUGUUACUAACUUCAAAACCACUGGAAAACAUUUCUGGGAAGGUAUGGUAGCAUUAAAAAAGUCAGGAGACCUGCCAAAUUCAUUAUCAAAAAA
rnacentral:ncRNA from 19 species